CUCGGCGCUCGAGAGACGCUCGACUCUGGCGUCGCGACUCUGUUCGACUCAGUCGACGCCGAGCCGCUGCGCCAGUUGGCCGCGAGUUACUCCGGUAGUUCGGUCGGGCCGUUUCACGUUCUGGAAUUUCCUCUGGUUGUUCCGAGGAUCGGUUCUUAACCUUGUCUCUCUUUCUCACUUGCUGUACUUAAAGUUAUAUUUACGUGAUUGGUACACGCAGUACAGAUUGCGCGUUGAAAAAGACGCAGCACAGCGAGGAAAUAUGCUCGUGCGAAUAAUAGGUCGGGUCCUUAUCCUCGUCUUCGUGGUGCCGUAGAAAGCGGUUAGUACAAGUGAGUGCAAGUGCAACGCGAGUAACACAGUUGGUAAACUGUUUUCGUUUGUUCUCAUUGCCCGGGAGUUUCUUGUGUUUCUUUUCGGAUACUCCAAGCGUUGUGGCUCUCUUCUUCCCUUUAACGCAGAGACAGAUAUACGUACGAAUAUCUGACUACCACGCCACUCUGUUUCUUCUUCCUCUUCUUCAACGACCGUCCGCCUGCCUGACUGCCUGACUCUGCCUUCCCGGUCGGUCGCUUUGGAACGCCGACCUGCUGCGUGGCGCGACAUGGACUUCGUAAUAUUGAAGGUUAGGGUGCCUUCUACUGUUCGUGCUGGUGCUCUAUGAAGAAGAGCCCCCACCUCGUACUAGGGGUACAAAUUUCUUCAGCAGUGAAAGCAUCAGGACGCUGCUGAGUCACGCGAACGGUAUGCACACAAGUCUUAGCCCGGGAAUGGACCUCGUUAGGUGGCCAGAGAAAAAGUGUGAGGAAACUUCUGAAGGGAGACUGGUAAGGUUACGACACUCAAUUCCUCGAGAACGAUAUAAGCCAAAGCUUAAAAGAUCGAGGAAAAGCUCAGGGCGUGAAAUGUGAAGUAAAUAAAAGAUUUAAAAAAAGGAAGAGAAUUCUCUAUCGUAAUCAGUGCCAAUAGCAUCUUGCCGCGUCGAGUUAAGAUUGCGUCUCUUAUGGCAGGGAUAAAUCUAGAGUAGAGAGCAGAUAAAUGGAAGAAAAUGGAAAAUGGACGAAAGACGAUACGUAUUCCUGCAGGAUUCUCCACGUGCCCCAUUAGGAAUUCUUCCACCACGAAAUCCUUGAGUCAAUCAGAAGGGAUUACUGGAAAUCGCUGGCCCCGGGAUAGAACAAAAUAAUGAGAACAGAGAGAAAAGCGAAAAGAAGAAAAAA